CCGGCGGUCCCGGCGCCGCGUCCUGCUCGUGUCGCUGCCGUGACCCGACGAAGCAGCUGCGCGUCGUCCAGCAGGGCCACGUCGUGCUCAGGGACGAAACCGUCUGUUAGGCAAAAUGAAGAAGCAGGUUCUGGCAUCAUGAUUCCCUCCCCACGGGGACCCUCCAAAGACAUCGAAGAAGCCCAGGGUGACUGAACUCAGUUUAGACCCAGGGACGAAGAGGACUCCAGGAAUUCUUGAGAGCAGGAUGGAGUUGGCACGGAAGCAUAACAAACAGCAAACUACAAAACAGACUGAAGUACCCGGGAAGCUUCACCUGUAAGUAGCACCGGAAUGAGACUUGCUGGUUAGUGUGUCCUUCUGCUGCCUUUAGAAAACAGGUUGGAAGGUGUGUCCCUGCAAACUCCCCUGGGGGGAAGGGGGCUAAGUUCCCAGAGUCCCUGCCAUCACACAUGGAGGCAGAAAACUAGCCCCCACCCAGCCCUCACCCAGCUCCAUAACCAGCUCACUCUUUUCUAGAAAAACAAGAGACUUUUUUUUUAAUAGGCAAAAGAUCGAUUCAGAGAUGAAAAUGAGAUAUCUUCCUAUGUAAUGUCAUUGGGUCUUGUUUCUAGAAUUUGAAAAGGGCAAGCCAAGGCAUGGCUUGAUGGAUACUGUAGGCCCACAGACCCUAGAAAUGAUGGAGAACCUCUGAGGACCUAAGGUCUGCCCAGAAAGAAAUAUAAGCAGUAGGAGGCAGUUGAAAACCACAAACCCACAUCAGGAGCCAGAAAGCUGGAAUCCAAAUGGAAGCCGGCUCCAGGAAGCUGGAUGUCUGUACGGCCAAACAGAAAGCACAGAGGGCUGAAGUUACAACGGUGCCUUGGACUUAGAUGGUCAGGUUACUUGACCCAUCUGAUGACUGACUCACAGCCGGGAAGUGAUGAGUCUGAGAAGCAAAUCCAGGCUUUUCAUCGCCAAAUCUUGUUGUCUUUCCGAACUUUAGAGUAUACCAGUGUCUGUGGUCUGUUAAAAAAAAAUGCCAAGGAUUUUUUUUUCUUCACAAAUUUAUUUAAAGUAGAUGUGUAAGAAAAAUACUAAAAUAUUUCUAUCACUGCUAUGCAACAAUCUGCUUAAGAAAUUGCGUGCAUUCCCAAACUUUCUGCAAGUGCGCUGUGAGAAUUCUAUAGGAGCUCUAUGGGGAAAAAAAAAAACUCAAUCCUGGUAGCAUGUCUUCCUUUUAAAACUCAUUUAAAAUCAUAUACGUAAAAAAUUACUAUUUAUACCAAUGCCUUCCUUUUCUGCAAUAAUCUACUUUUAAGAUUUUACUCCAAGCACCCAUGGGUGAUUUUUAACUCUAUCUUUCAAAAUAAAAUUAAAAGGCCCUCAUUUCUUUUCACUCUUAAUUAAGAUUAUUGAGUUCAAUUUUAAGGUAAAAAUAGGGGCAGGGUAUGAUGUAGGUAGGUAUCAGGAUCUGAGCUCUGACAAUCCUAACCCCAACUCCAAACUCCACAUUGAGCCACGUUCCAAUAAAAGCUGGAUGUGGAAACCUAAGUAGGUAUCAAAUACCCUACCCCUACAUGUCAUACCAACUCUGUUAGAAGCUUUGAUUUCUCUAGAGUUUUUUUUUCCAGUGACUUCCAAGCAUCAAGUAUUUACGGAUGCAUUGUUUGGGAAGUUCAAACUCUCAGAGCAGAGGACUCAAACACCUUUACAACCUGGCCCCAAUCUCUGUCAGCAUUUCAAAUUUCAAGGAUUUUGCCACUCUCCACCCUUCCCCACCCAGGACCAAAGCCAACUCCCUUAGGAUCAAAACACGUUCUGCACUUUCUCUGUAACCUUUGCACCUGCUUGUCCGUGUGCUUGGAAUACCCUUGAAGCUCACCCAACUGUACAGCUCAGCUCAAGAUCUUCAUAAUCCUUGUAAAAAUCAGUCAUAGUUUUCUUCUGGGUCUCCAGAGCUUUUGUCUCUUCAGAGCACAGGCUUGGGAGCCAGACCGACUGGGUUCAAAUGCUGACUUCACACACAACUCAUUAGCGAUGUGGUCUUAAAGAAAUUAACGAGCAUCUCUAGGCCUCAGUUCUUCAGCUGUAAAGUAGGGUUAAUAAUAACACCUAUUUCAUGGAAGUGUCAGGAAGAAUGAAUAAAUUACUAUGUAUAAAGUACUAACAAUAGUGCCUGGCACAUAAUUGGUGCUCUACAAAUGAUUAUUAAAAUUAUUAUUAUUGUGAGUCUGUUGUAGCAUUUUUAACAGCCUAACUUACAUUACAUUUAUGGCUCUCUGUCUAAUUAGAUUAUAAUUCCUAAAGGACAGAAACCAUAUCUGUUUAAUUCAUUAUUCUUUAUCUAGCACUUAACACUGUGUCUGGGACAUAGCAAAUAUUUCUUAGAUAAAUGAAUGUCUCCCCAUUAAAUUGUGAUUUCCUUGACACCAAGGACUCAUAUGCUCAGAGCAUUUCUUCAUUACUUCGUUUCUCUACGCCCAGAACCUAACACAAUACUGGCACCUUGGCAGCACUCAGUGUAUAUUGGCAAAAAUAAAGCAAGAGAAAGAGAGGUUUUAUCCCAAACCAUAUAUUCUCUUUUUUGAGAGUUUAUGGAGACAUGACUAGCACACUAGAGCUGCCGUCCAAAAUCUAACUUAGGUCUGACCGCUUUAUCUUAUAGUAAAGUGGAGUCCCCCAAGGCACUUAUGGAGAAGCCAAGAGAAAAGCAAAGGGGUUUGCUGAGCAAUCAAGCACCCUCCAGAAAAUGGAGACCAUCGUACUGCCCAGGAUUCUAUCCCUGCCAAGAAACAGAGAGCUAGAAUAAGGGCAAGAGAAGGGAUAGUUGGCAAAGAUCCAAUUCUGACUUUGCUACAAGGGAAAGAUGGAAGAGUCCUAGCUACAGUUAAAACAUGCCCCCCAAUGGGGUAACUGGGUGAUGGGCUUUAAGGAGGGCAUGUGAUGUAAUGAGCACUGGGUAUCAUAUAAGUGAUGAAUCGCUGACCUCCAUCUCUGAAAUCAAUAAUACAUUAUAUGUUAAUUAAUUAAAUUUAAAUUAAAAAGUAAACAUUUUUAAAAAUUUAAAAAUUACAAAACUGUGCCCCCAGGGCUGCAGAAAAGCUAAGAAUAGUUUCUCCAAACAGGUAGUUUAGGGACACCUGGAUGGCUCAGCGGUUGAGCAUCUGCCAUUAGCUCAGGGCGUGAACCUGGGUCCAGGGAUCAAGUCCUACAUUGGGCUCCCCAUAAGGAGCCUGCU